rnacentral:tRNA from 1 species
UCAUUGGUGGUCCAGUGGCUAAGUCUCUGCACUCACAAUACAGGGGCCCCAGGUUCGAUCCCUGGUCAGGGAA